rnacentral:rRNA from 1 species
UACGGGGGGAGCAAGCGUUGUUCGGAUUUACUGGGCGUAAAGGGCGCGUAGGCGGCCAGCGCAAGUCAGUUGUGAAAUCUCCGGGCUUAACUCGGAAAGGUCAACUGAUACUGCGCGGCUAGAGUGCAGAAGGGGCAACUGGAAUUCUCGGUGUAGCGGUGAAAUGCGUUGAGAUCGGAAGGAACGCCCGUGGCGAAAGCGAGGUCCUGGACGCUUACUGACGCUGAGGCGCGAAAGCCAGGGGAGCAAACGGG